GACGAACGCUGGCGGCGUGCUUAACACAUGCAAGUCGAACGGUGAAGCGAGUGCUUGCACUCGUGGAUCAGUGGCGAACGGGUGUGUCACACGUGAGUAACCUGCCCAUCACUCUGGGAUAAGCACUGGAAACGGUGUCUAAUACUGGAUACGACCAACCCUUGCAUGGGGUGUUGGUGGAAAGUUUUAUCGGUGAUGGAUGGACUCGCGGCCUCUCAGCUUGUUGGCGGGGUACUGGCCCACCAAGGCGACGACGGGUAGCCGGCCUGAGAGGGUGACCGGCCACACUGGGACUGAGACACGGCCAAGACUCCUACGGGAGGAAGCAGUGGGGAAUAUUGCACAAUGGGCGAAAGCCUGAUGCAGCGACGCCGCGUGAGGGAUGACGGCCUUCGGGUUGUAAACCUCUUUCAGCAGGGAAGAAGCGAAAGUGACGGUACCUGCAGAAGAAGCACCGGCUAACUACGUG
rnacentral:rRNA from 1 species